rfam:Dipodomys ordii contig_43743, whole genome shotgun sequence.
GGUGGCUCAGUGUUAGAGCGCUUGCCUUGCAUGCAAGAGCCCUUGGGUUUGAUUCCUUAGCACCA